UUUAGUUUACUAUAUAGCCUCCUAAUACUUUAUAUGCAGGAUCUUAUGUAUAUUUUUCUAUCUUGUAGGUACUAUCAUGACAAUCUCAAAGGACAGAGUUAAGCCAUCUCCCACACCUGAUAGCUGGAAGCUCAGAGAAAUUUUCGCCACUGGAAUUGUGUUGGGAGGUUACCAAGCUGUUAUGAGUGUGAUUUUCUUCUGGGCCAUUCACAAGACUGACUUUUUCUCGGUAAUCAUCAUCACCAUCUCUCUUUUGUUUCUUUAUUGGUAAAGGCGCUUCAGGUACUAAUAUAGAUAAAUAUUGCCUGAGAAACUAAACUUCACUCUUUGAUUUGCAGGACAAAUUUGGUGUGAGGUCAAUCAGGGACAACAACGAUGAGCUAAUGGGUGCUGUGUACCUACAAGUUAGUAUCAUCAGCCAAGCGCUUAUCUUCGUCACGAGAUCAAGGAGUUGGUCGUUCGUUGAACGUCCUGGGGCGCUUCUGAUGAUUGCCUUCGUCAUUGCACAGCUUGUAAGAACAAUCAAACACUCAUCUUUUCAGGAAUUCUAUCUGGUACACUUUGAAGAAAAGAAAUCCAUUGAAUGAAUUCCAUCUGACUCUUCUUCCCAAACGCAGGUUGCGACUUUGAUAGCAGUGUAUGCGGACUGGACAUUUGCAAAGGUGAAGGGUAUCUGGAAUGGGAACCAACAUGUAUCCGUCUGCCGCUCUUCUCGGUACUGACAAGGACUCGAACAUUGCGUCCAUUCCUGUUGAGGAGUUGAUCGAGAAGGCUGAUGGGUUUGCUGGCGUCUUUCCAGGUUAUAACUUGCUUUCGAUUUUAAACCUUAGUUAAAGAAGUUUUGUUAUAUUGAUCCAAGCUUCUUAUGUUUCUUAUUGCAGAACACAAAUACGAGAUUGUGAAAAAGCUGCAAGAGAGGAAACACAUUGUUGGAAUGACUGGUGAUGGUGUCAACGAUGCUCCUGCUUUGAAGAAAGCUGACAUUGGUAUUGCGGUGGCCGAUGCAACAGAUGCUGCUCGUGGUGCUUCAGAUAUUGUUCUCACCGAACCUGGAUUGAGUGUUAUCAUCAGUGCAGUGCUCACUAGUAGAGCUAUCUUCCAGAGAAUGAAGAACUAUACCGUGAGCAUUCUCUUAGUUAUAUUCUUAUAUUAUACCCACUACUUCUGUUCCUUGGUAGAAACUAAUUACUCUUUUUUCCUGCUUGUGACAGAUUUAUGCAGUCUCAAUCACAAUCCGUAUUGUCGUAAGUAGACACCCCAUUUAUCUAUCUCUUGUGUACCAUGUUUUUUCUUUUGUAUACUGAUCAUAUUGCGUUACAAUUUGCAGUUUGGUUUCAUGCUUAUUGCUCUGAUAUGGGAAUUUGACUUCUCAGCUUUCAUGGUUCUGAUUAUUGCCAUCCUUAAUGACGGUGAGCAAAUGGCUUUAGUUUACUAUAUAGCCUCCUAAUACUUUAUAUGCAGGAUCUUAUGUAUAUUUUUCUAUCUUGUAGGUACUAUCAUGACAAUCUCAAAGGACAGAGUUAAGCCAUCUCCCACACCUGAUAGCUGGAAGCUCAGAGAAAUUUUCGCCACUGGAAUUGUGUUGGGAGGUUACCAAGCUGUUAUGAGUGUGAUUUUCUUCUGGGCCAUUCACAAGACUGACUUUUUCUCG
rnacentral:lncRNA from 1 species